rnacentral:pre_miRNA from 1 species
CACCUACUCUCUUCGUUCGGAAAUACUUGUCAUUAAAAUGAACAAAGGGGUAUAUCUAGACAUAUUUUACUUUUAUAUACAUCUCUUUUUAUCCAUUUUGAUGACAAAUAUUUUCGGAUGGAGGAAAUAUUUU